GACGAACGCUGGCGGCGUGCUUAACACAUGCAAGUCGAACGGAAAGGCCCUGCUUUUGUGGGGUGCUCGAGUGGCGAACGGGUGAGUAACACGUGAGUAACCUGCCCUGGACUUGGGGAUAACUUCAGGAAACUGGGGCUAAUACCGGAUAGGAGCUCCUGCUGCAGGGUGGGGGUUGGAAAGUUUCGGCGGUUGGGGAUGGGCUCGCGGGUUAUCAGCUUGUUGGUGGGGUAGUGGCUUACCAAGCCUUUGACGGGUAGCCGGCCUGAGAGGGUGACCGGCCACAUUGGGACUGAGAUACGGCGCAGACUCCUACGGGAGGCAGAAGUCGGGAAUAUUGCACAAUGGGCGGAAGCCUGAUGCAGCAACGCCGCGUGCGGGAUGACGGCCUUCGGGUUGUAAACCGCUUUCGCCUGUGACGAAGCGUGAGUGACGGUAAUGGGUAAAGAAGCACCGGCUAACUACGUG
rnacentral:rRNA from 1 species